UACAGAGGUCUCAAGCGUUGUUCGGAUUCAUUGGGCGUAAAGAGCGUGUAGGCGGCCCGGUAAGUCCGCUGUGAAAGUCGGGGGCUCAACCCUCGAAAGCCGGUGGAUACUGUCGGGCUAGAGUGCGGAAGAGGCGAGUGGAAUUCCUGGUGUAGCGGUGAAAUGCGCAGAUAUCAGGAGGAACACCAAUUGCGAAGGCAGCUCGCUGGGACGUUACUGACGCUGAGACGCGAAAGCGUGGGGAGCAAACAGG
rnacentral:rRNA from 1 species